GGAGGGACCAGGGGAUCCUUCAGCCCAGAUUGUGAGAGGAUGCAAGCCAGGCCGAAGGACCCCACUGGUGUACA
rnacentral:pre_miRNA from 1 species